CAGCUUUUUUCUUUUGUAGACGGGAGAGUUGAGAUAUACUGUUCAAACUCUGACUUCAACAAAAAGAUAUUUGGUUUUUUACUUGAAAACUUACAUUUGCAUAUAAUAUUACAUAUUAUGAGAUCUUUCUGUGUCUCAAAAGAUGCACGUGCGUCAGUAAAUGUCAUGGAAACAGAAUGACCGUCACGUCAUGUAGGCCUAUUUAAAGGCCAGCAGACCUAUCAUUUCUCACUUUGCACCUGAACCUGGACACGAGCUGAAAACCUCUUGACCCAAACUGUGAAAACUUUUAGAAACUUCUACAAAGCGGACCUUGUUGAAAAAAACAAAACUACUGCUUCAAGCACCUUUUGUGUAAAACCCGAAGAGCCUGAAUACUGUCUUCAGUGGACCACCGGUCGCUGAGGACCACCUGCUGGUGGGGCCCAUAGAUAGGGCCUACCACCCAGAGGUGGACGCUAACCCAGCAGCCUCUACAGAGAAAAGGAGACCCAAUUGAAGCAGUUGUGGUAAAAAAAAAAAAAAAGAAGAGCAGACCAUGCUCCUUCUCUAGUGGAAGAGAUGCUGAUGAUGCUCCCGCCGCCAAGACCUCUGCAGAAAAACGCAUAAGGAGGUGCCAUAGACUGCUUCAUUGACUCCUGAGACAAAUAUUCACCAAAAAUCCUGUGGUAGAUGAAAGUGGACAGCAGUCUGACUCACAGCAGAGAGUCGCCUCAGAUGCUCUGGCCACCCCAGCACCACUCUCAGAUAAACAACAAAAACCACAGAAGAGGAAGCACAAA